rnacentral:rRNA from 1 species
AUGGAUGCCACACAAGAGACACUUGUGGAGACGGCACGCACAAUUAAUUGCUUGGUGUGGAAUUGCCGGGGGAUUGGAGGAUCCCGUACAGUACGUGACCUGGUAUCCCUGAACCAACUUCAUCGACCUAGCUUUGUUUUCUUAUGUGAGACUAGACAAACUAAGGAGAAGGUCAAGCACUUGUGCAACCGGUUGGGCCUAAGUGGGUUUGCUGGAGUUAGUAGUAAAGGUUACAGUGGAGGUCUGGCCCUCUUCUGGGAUGAG